rnacentral:rRNA from 1 species
UUAAGCGACUAAGCGUACACGGUGGAUGCCCUGGCAGUCAGAGGCGAUGAAGGACGUGCUAAUCUGCGAUAAGCGUCGGUAAGGUGAUAUGAACCGUUAUAACCGGCGAUUUCCGAAUGGGGAAACCCAGUGUGUUUCGACACACUAUCAUUAACUGAAUCCAUAGGUUAAUGAGGCGAACCGGGGGAACUGAAACAUCUAAGUACCCCGAGGAAAAGAAAUCAACCGAGAUUCCCCCAGUAGCGGCGAGCGAACGGGGAGCAGCCCAGAGCCUGAAUCAGUGUGUGUGUUAGUGGAAGCGUCUGGAAAGGCGCGCGAUACAGGGUGACAGCCCCGUACACAAAAAUGCACAUAUUGUGAGCUCGAUGAGUAGGGCGGGACACGUGGUAUCCUGUCUGAAUAUGGGGGGACCAUCCUCCAAGGCUAAAUACUCCUGACUGACCGAUAGUGAACCAGUACCGUGAGGGAAAGGCGAAAAGAACCCCGGCGAGGGGAGUGAAAAAGAACCUGAAACCGUGUACGUACAAGCAGUGGGAGCACGCUUAGGCGUGUGACUGCGUACCUUUUGUAUAAUGGGUCAGCGACUUAUAUUCUGUAGCAAGGUUAACCGAAUAGGGGAGCCGAAGGGAAACCGAGUCUUAACUGGGCGUUAAGUUGCAGGGUAUAGACCCGAAACCCGGUGAUCUAGCCAUGGGCAGGUUGAAGGUUGGGUAACACUAACUGGAGGACCGAACCGACUAAUGUUGAAAAAUUAGCGGAUGACUUGUGGCUGGGGGUGAAAGGCCAAUCAAACCGGGAGAUAGCUGGUUCUCCCCGAAAGCUAUUUAGGUAGCGCCUCGUGAAUUCAUCUCCGGGGGUAGAGCACUGUUUCGGCAAGGGGGUCAUCCCGACUUACCAACCCGAUGCAAACUGCGAAUACCGGAGAAUGUUAUCACGGGAGACACACGGCGGGUGCUAACGUCCGUCGUGAAGAGGGAAACAACCCAGACCGCCAGCUAAGGUCCCAAAGUCAUGGUUAAGUGGGAAACGAUGUGGGAAGGCCCAGACAGCCAGGAUGUUGGCUUAGAAGCAGCCAUCAUUUAAAGAAAGCGUAAUAGCUCACUGGUCGAGUCGGCCUGCGCGGAAGAUGUAACGGGGCUAAACCAUGCACCGAAGCUGCGGCAGCGACGCUUAUGCGUUGUUGGGUAGGGGAGCGUUCUGUAAGCCUGCGAAGGUGUGCUGUGAGGCAUGCUGGAGGUAUCAGAAGUGCGAAUGCUGACAUAAGUAACGAUAAAGCGGGUGAAAAGCCCGCUCGCCGGAAGACCAAGGGUUCCUGUCCAACGUUAAUCGGGGCAGGGUGAGUCGACCCCUAAGGCGAGGCCGAAAGGCGUAGUCGAUGGGAAACAGGUUAAUAUUCCUGUACUUGGUGUUACUGCGAAGGGGGACGGAGAAGGCUAUGUUGGCCGGGCGACGGUUGUCCCGGUUUAAGCGUGUAGGCUGGUUUUCCAGGCAAAUCCGGAAAAUCAAGGCUGAGGCGUGAUGACGAGGCACUACGGUGCUGAAGCAACAAAUGCCCUGCUUCCAGGAAAAGCCUCUAAGCAUCAGGUAACAUCAAAUCGUACCCCAAACCGACACAGGUGGUCAGGUAGAGAAUACCAAGGCGCUUGAGAGAACUCGGGUGAAGGAACUAGGCAAAAUGGUGCCGUAACUUCGGGAGAAGGCACGCUGAUAUGUAGGUGAAGUCCCUUGCGGAUGGAGCUGAAAUCAGUCGAAGAUACCAGCUGGCUGCAACUGUUUAUUAAAAACACAGCACUGUGCAAACACGAAAGUGGACGUAUACGGUGUGACGCCUGCCCGGUGCCGGAAGGUUAAUUGAUGGGGUCAGCGCAAGCGAAGCUCUUGAUCGAAGCCCCGGUAAACGGCGGCCGUAACUAUAACGGUCCUAAGGUAGCGAAAUUCCUUGUCGGGUAAGUUCCGACCUGCACGAAUGGCGUAAUGAUGGCCAGGCUGUCUCCACCCGAGACUCAGUGAAAUUGAACUCGCUGUGAAGAUGCAGUGUACCCGCGGCAAGACGGAAAGACCCCGUGAACCUUUACUAUAGCUUGACACUGAACAUUGAGCCUUGAUGUGUAGGAUAGGUGGGAGGCUUAGAAGUGUGGACGCCAGUCUGCAUGGAGCCGACCUUGAAAUACCACCCUUUAAUGUUUGAUGUUCUAACGUUGACCCGUAAUCCGGGUUGCGGACAGUGUCUGGUGGGUAGUUUGACUGGGGCGGUCUCCUCCUAAAGAGUAACGGAGGAGCACGAAGGUUGGCUAAUCCUGGUCGGACAUCAGGAGGUUAGUGCAAUGGCAUAAGCCAGCUUGACUGCGAGCGUGACGGCGCGAGCAGGUGCGAAAGCAGGUCAUAGUGAUCCGGUGGUUCUGAAUGGAAGGGCCAUCGCUCAACGGAUAAAAGGUACUCCGGGGAUAACAGGCUGAUACCGCCCAAGAGUUCAUAUCGACGGCGGUGUUUGGCACCUCGAUGUCGGCUCAUCACAUCCUGGGGCUGAAGUAGGUCCCAAGGGUAUGGCUGUUCGCCAUUUAAAGUGGUACGCGAGCUGGGUUUAGAACGUCGUGAGACAGUUCGGUCCCUAUCUGCCGUGGGCGCUGGAGAACUGAGGGGGGCUGCUCCUAGUACGAGAGGACCGGAGUGGACGCAUCACUGGUGUUCGGGUUGUCAUGCCAAUGGCACUGCCCGGUAGCUAAAUGCGGAAGAGAUAAGUGCUGAAAGCAUCUAAGCACGAAACUUGCCCCGAGAUGAGUUCUCCCUGACCCUUUAAGGGUCCUGAAGGAACGUUGAAGACGACGACGUUGAUAGGCCGGGUGUGUAAGCGCAGCGAUGCGUUGAGCUAACCGGUACUAAUGAACCGUGAGGCUUAACCUU